CCUACGGGUGGCAGCAGUGGUGAAUAUUGGUCAAUGGGCGAAAGCCUGACCCAGCAACGCCGCGUGAAGGAAGAAGGCUUUCGGGUUGUAAACUUCUUUUGACAGGGAAGAGCAGAAGACGGUACCUGUCGAAUAAGCCACGGCUAACUACGUGCCAGCAGCCGCGGUAAUACGUAGGUGGCAAGCGUUGUCCGGAUUUACUGGGUGUAAAGGGUGCGUAGGCGGUCCGUUAAGUCAGCGGUAAAAUUGCGGGGCUCAACCCCGUCGAGCCGUUGAAACUGGCAGACUUGAGUUGGCGUGAAGUACGCGGAAUGCGCGGUGUAGCGGUGAAAUGCAUAGAUAUCGCGCAGAACUCCGAUUGCGAAGGCAGCGUACCGGCGCCAGACUGACGCUGAGGCACGAAAGCGUGGGGAUCGAACAGGAUUAGAUACCCCUGUAGUC
rnacentral:rRNA from 1 species